rnacentral:rRNA from 1 species
AAUGAACGCUGGCGGCAUGCCUUACACAUGCAAGUCGAACGGCAGCAUGACCUAGCUUGCUAGGUUGAUGGCGAGUGGCGAACGGGUGAGUAAUGCAUCGGAACGUGCCUUUUAGUGGGGGAUAACGUAGCGAAAGUUACGCUAAUACCGCAUAUUCUCUGAGGAGGAAAGCAGGGGACCUUCGGGCCUUGCGCUAGAAGAGCGGCCGAUGUCGGAUUAGCUAGUUGGUGAGGUAAAGGCUCACCAAGGCAACGAUCCGUAGCGGGUCUGAGAGGAUGAUCCGCCACACUGGGACGGAGACACGCCCAAGACUCCUGCGGGGGGAAGCAGUGGGGAAUUUGGGACAAUGGGGGCAACCCUGCUCCAGCCAUGCCGCGUGAGUGAAGAAGGCCUUGGGGUUGAAAAGCUCUUUGGGCUGGGAAGAAACCCCCCCCUCUAAUACGGGGUGGGGAUGACGGUACCAGAAGAAGAAGCACCGGCUAACUACGUG